GUGGGGAAUAUUGGACAAUGGGCGAAAGCCUGAUCCAGCCAUGCCGCGUGCAGGAAGAAGGCCUUCGGGUUGUAAACUGCUUUUGUACGGAACGAAACGGUCCUGGUUAAUACCCGGGGCUAAUGACGGUACCGUAAGAAUAAGCACCGGCUAACUACGUGCCAGCAGCCGCGGUAAUACGUAGGGUGCGAGCGUUAAUCGGAAUUACUGGGCGUAAAGCGUGCGCAGGCGGUGCUGUAAGACAGGCGUGAAAUCCCCGGGCUCAACCUGGGAAUUGCGCUUGUGACUGCAGUGCUGGAGUACGGCAGAGGGGGAUGGAAUUCCGCGUGUAGCAGUGAAAUGCGUAGAUAUGCGGAGGAACACCGAUGGCGAAGGCAGUCCCCUGGGCCUGUACUGACGCUCAUGCACGAAAGCGUGGGGAGCAAACAGGAUUAGAUACCCUGGUAGUCC
rnacentral:rRNA from 1 species